rnacentral:rRNA from 1 species
GACGAACGCUGGCGGCGUGCCUAAUACAUGCAAGUAGGACGCAGUUGCGAACGGGUGAGUAACGCGUAGGUAACUACCUAUUAGAGGGGGAUAACUAUUGGAAACGAUAGCUAAUACCGCAUACUAGGAUAUGGACCUUCGUUGUAUUAGCUAGUAGGUAGGGUAAUGGACUACCUAGGCAACGAUACAUAGCCGACCUGAGAGGGUGAUCGGCCACACUGGGCAUGAGCACCGGCCCAGACUCCCACGGGAGGCAGCAGUAGGGAAUCUGCGGCAAUGGGGGGAAACCUGACCGAGCAACGCCGCGUGAGUGAAGAAGGUUUUCGGAUCGUAAAGCUCUGUUGUUAAGGAAGCGGUACUUAACCAGAAAGGGACGGCUAACUACGUGCCAGCCGCCGCGGUAAUAC